GGAGAGCGAUGACCGACGCAGACGAUUGCGUGGAGAGUGACGACCGACGACGACGAUUGUGUGGAGAGAGAGACUAGAGAGAGACAGUGAGGUGAGGAGGAGUCGGCGACUCGGCGUUGCUAAGUGGCGCAUCCGCAACGUAGUGAAGAUCGAUGACCCGAGUUAGCCGCGAUGGUUAAUCGGUCGAUGUUGGGAGGAGAGUGGAGGUUGGACGGUGGACAGUGAACCCGUUAAAAGUGGUAGAACUCAGUGCUCAGAGAAGAGGCACAAGCAUGUGUGACGUGAGGCGGCGUGGAAUGGAGAUUAGCGUCUCUACUCAGUGGCACUGCUUUUAGAUUUAGGGCAAAUAAGGGUACAUUUCAAAACGACGUAGUAUUAGUAUAGGUGAUUUCAUUUCGGUUCGGUCUAAUCGAAAUUUUUGAAUCUAAAACCGAACCGAAUUAAAAAUAAAACUAAACCAAAUUUUCAAAAUUAAUCGGUUCGAUCAGUUAUUUCGGUUUAAACCGAAUACUGCUCACCCCUAACUAUACCCGUGAAUAUUCUCUAGCAUUGUCUUUUAUGUAAAUUAUUAUGUUAAAAAUGAAUUUGAAGCAAUUACAUAAAAUCACAUAUUAAGAUGAAUUAAAUUAACCAGAAGUUCAAUUUUCUUUAGUAAUGAAUUCUUCACCUAAUAUUUUAUAUAAAAAAAAGAUUACAUAUUUAUUUCAAAAUAUAAACAAUAUUAAAAAAUCAAAAUAAGUUUUGACUUAAUUAGUAAUAGAGUUUAGUUAAAAUCAUAAUAGGUAUAUACAAAAUACAAAAAGAUUUCUUGUAUUAUUUCAUUCCGUCUAACUGUACAAUAAAAAGUCCGACUUCACAUUAGACUCCCAUCACUGCUAGGCGGAUUUCUUAAAAAUCAAAGUAGAUCUUUUCGAAUCACGUAAGAUUUUGUUUGAAUAAUGAUUGAACGUGUAGUAGAGUUGACCGCCAUGACGCAUAUGAUGGAUAAAAUAUACGCAUAUGAUGGAUAAGAUAUAAAUCAAGUGGUUAAUAUUUAUAAGUCGAGUAUAUUUUAGUCUUAUUGAUUUACUGCACACAACUCCUUCUUUAAAUUUCAAAAUCUAUGACUAAAGUUUUCCUUCAUUAAUCUUCAAUCAUCUAAUCAGAUUUAUUAACUUUUUCGUAAAUCAAACCUCUUUAUCUGUACAGUAAACUUACUGAAUCUGAAAUCAUCAGUUAACCUUUUUGUUAUAACAAAAAUUUAAAAUGAUAUAUGUACAUAUACAUUCCCUACUAAAAUACAUUUUCCACAUCCAAUUAUCUAUGCUGGGACCUUCAAAUGCUAUUAUUUGUUAAGUAUCAUUACAAUGUUUUGAGUUCUUGUUAAUAAUUAGGAAUUCUCAUUAUCAAAUUUCUGAAAUUUGAAGAAAUUUGCUAAUUUAUUUUUAUUUUAAAUUUAACAUUUCUAUAAUUAUUUAAUUUAUUUUAGUUUUUAAUUAAAAGAAUUAAAUUAAUAAUAUAAAUAUUUAAAACCGCUAAUAUUUUUAUAAGAGAAAGAAAUAUUUGAAUUUUAUAAAAUAUAAAAAUAUUUUAAUUAAAUAAAUUGUAAAAAAUGAAAUAAUAAAUUUCUUACCAUGACUUAAUGGUAAUUCACCUAUCAAUAGUAUCAUCCGUUAUGGCAUGGGUGCUAGUGCCACUGUUUUGGAAAUCGUGAUUAACCAGAACAUGGCUCUAAUGAUUAAUCCACGUGCCAAUCAAUUCUCAAAAAUUACUCUCUGUACAUUGUAUCAAAUAAUGGGGGUUAUUAUCAACUCAAUUUUAUAUUUAAAUUUUAAUAUUAUCAUUAAAUUAAAAAUUUACAUAUAAAUUUAUAUAUUUAUUAUAUAUACAUAAAUAUCUAAUUUAAUUAUUAUAAAACUUUUUUUCUUUGAAGAUAUAAAAUUUAUUAAUAAAGGCAAUAUUAAAUUAUAUAUUUGUGUCCUAUAAUAAAUUUAUUAUAAUGUUAGAUAUUUGUGUGUAUAUAAUAAAUUACAUAAUUAUUAUAAAAAUGAAGAUAUAGUUUUUUUUAUUAAUAAAUGCAAUAUAAAAUUUAUUCUUCUUAAUAAUUAAAAUUUAAUUAAUAAAUUACUAAAAAAAGUAGUCCUUUUACCUUUUGAAAUUACUCUUAUUUAACUUUUUCUUUCGUCUUUUAAUAGGGCACUUUAUUUUUGAGAUGGUAAUUUUUAUUAAGUUUUUAAUAUAUACUUAUUUAAAAUAUGUUAUGAUUUAAUCUCCAAAACGAGGUAGCAUUAAGGUAUAUGAGUAAACUUUGUUUCUAUUUUCUGUAUGUAUUUUUUUUAUUUUUUUUAUUAUUUUGUGAUGAAUAACUGUCGUCUGCAGAAUUAUAUGUAUGAAUGUACGGUCCUUUCCUCUACUGUCAGGCGAUUUAUCUUAAUAUGAUUUCAAAUGUAUGAGAUUUACUGUUUCGUAGAUUUAAAUGAUCGAUCAAAUCGAAUUUUUUUUUAUUGGAUUCAAGUCCUAUUCAAACUCAAUUUUUAAUAAAUGAUAUAUAUAUAUAUAUAUUUGAAUUCAAACUCAAUUUUUAUUAUUAAUUUUGAAUCUAUUUUAAAUUUGAUUAAAAAUUAAUUUAAAUUAUUUAAAUUUAUCUUAAAUACAAUUAUUACUAUCCAAACAAAAUUGAAAUUCGUCUAAUAUCAUAUAUUUUAAUUAAUAAUUUAUAUAAAAAAAUUUAUUUAAAAAAUCUAAUAAUUUUAAAAAAUAUUUAAUAUUUAAUUUUUAAAUAAAAACAUAUAAAAAAAUUUAUAGAUGAUAUUGUAAAUUAUAUUUUUAUAUUAAAUUAAUUAUUUAUAUAAAUAAUUUUAAUAAUAAAAAUUUACGAAAAAAAUUUGAAUUUAAAUCGUUACAGAUAUUGCUUUUCAAAUUCGAAUUGGCUGUAAAUAUUAUUUUUUAAAUUUAAAUAUAUUUUAAACUUAAUUAUAAUUUCACAUCUUGUCUUAUUAGAAUUCAGACCGAUCAGUUCCGGAAAAUACUCCACAUCCAUUGCCAUCUGUAAGAGAUACCGGUUAAUCUAGGCAUCAACCGAGAGAACAGGUGUCGAUAAUAUUCAGAGAGUGCAAAAUCGAAGAAGAAUCAUAAUAAUAUCAAGGCAUAUUAUUAAUUAGGGGAUGACAAUGGUUUCGGAAGUUAUCAUUUCAAACUUUGACACAAACACAAGACAUCAUCAUUAUCUUCCUUCAUUAAAUUGAAAUGAAUCAUAAAUAUGCAAACUGAUGUUUGAAAAUCUUUAACGUAAUUUUCUUUCCAAUGUCUCGUAACAUGUUACUUUUGUCUACAGAUGUCUGAUUAUUGAUUGAUCAACUGUAUGUACAUGUAAAUGAGUUAAAUAUAUUAUUAUAUACCUUUUCAUGCAUUGUUCUCAAAAUUAUAUAUUAGUCAUUAUCAAUUAUCACUGAUAAAUUAAAAAUUUUCUGUCUAAAAAAAUAAACCCAUCAAUUAAUACACAAAAAAUCUAUGAUACCAUAAAGAUCUGUAAUCCCAUAAGGAAGAAGAAGAAGAAAAACCAUUAACAGCAUUCAUCACCAUGAACAAACAAAGUGAAGAAAGUGAAGCUUAAUUAAUUCAUCACCAUGAUUAAUUAUCAUAUCAAACUCUUUGCUGAUUUUCGCAUUGCCUUUUAUUUUCUCUUCUUCUGUUUCCAAACACCAAGAAAACACUUGCAUGCAUAUUCAUAAGUAAUAGCAUUUCCUCACAAUUUCACAAUCUCACCACUGAGAAGUUAAAAGAAAGAAAGAAAAAAAAGGGUGUAGAAAUGGAAGAAAAGUAAUUAACAAACUGUCUUCAAAAGCCUGAACCAUUUUGCAAGCUCUAUAGAAAGAUCAAUAUGGGGAGAGAGACACCAUCAUAAUUCAUAAAUAAAAUCUUAGCGAGUCAUAGAGAUGAAGGGAAGGAGGAGAGUGCAGCUCCCAUACUUGAUGAAUUUGGUGCAAUUUCUUCUCCUCCAAGUGGUCCAUCAACAUUAUCCCAAAACAGAAAAUUUGAACAUUGUUGUGAGUCAACCCAUUCAUUGAGUUCUUGCCUCUGUAAGCAACCCAAUGCUAUCUCUCCUUCAUCAUCCAUGCUACAAGAUUGCAUUUCAAUGGGCACCAUGUUCUCCAUGUUCUCAAUCAAUGGAGGCAAGUAAUUAGUAUCCAUCCCAAUGCUGAAUGUAGCCUGUGGUGGAAGGAUUUGAACUUGGUGAUGAUGGUGCUGGUUUGUGUUCCAUGUUUCAGUGUUCAAGCUCGCAGGCUCGUUAAAAAACUCCCCUCGUACACUGUUGUCCGCAAUUCCAUCAAGUGGAGUAGUGCCAGUGUCGAACAUAAAUAAGGGAGCUGGAGAUGAAAAUAGGGUUUCUUGAACAUGAGGCCUUGUUGUCAAAUCUUGAUGCACUAAAUCUAUUUGGUUUGAGCCAUAAUUUAUAUGUGAAUGAUCGAUACCGCUACUUGUUGCAGCAACUGUAGUUGUAGAAGCUGAAGGCUUUCGUAUCUUCUUUUUGAUCCAUGAAUUCCAAUAGUUCUUUAUCUCAUUGUCUGUUCUUCCAGGCAAGUGACUUGCUAUAUGAGCCCAUCUGCAAUUCCAUGUAAAACAAAACAGAUCACAAGAAGAAGAGAGAAAUUUUCAGUGGAGCAGCGAUCUCCCAAGUGAACAAAAACCAAUUUCUUAUAACAAGGAAGAUCAUAAGCUGGUUCAAAAAAAUGUUCAGAAAUGUAUUGUACUUUCUGCUGAAAAUGUGUAUUGCAACCUCUGAUAUUUCCUUCUUAACGGCUACUACGGUACAGUUGAUAGCAGCUUAAGGAACUAUUUCUAAAUGGGGUUGCUUCUUGUGAAUAUUUAAUAGAAAAUUAAAGCAGUGAAACGCACGCCAUGACUUAAUUUUGAAGUUUGCUUUAAAAAAUUCAAGUUGAUAUCAACUCUCACUAUACCAGGUCUGAUUGCAAGCAACUUUCGAUCCCCUCCCUCCAACAAGGGGAAAAGAAAUCCAAGAUUAAGAAACAAGCCACAUGUGAUUCUUUUAGAAAUUUAUAUGCUAAGAGUUAAAUUAUAUUGGGACAAGUGAAGAACCCUAGAUUAUAAACAUACCCAGAUGGUGUAUACAUAUGGGAAUUCUGAGUUAAUUCACGACUUAUGUACUUCAAAUGUGAAAUGUAGUUUAAUUUUACAGUAAGCAUAAGAAAUUAAACCUGUUUCCAACAACGCCAUGAAGGUUAAUAAUCAACUUCUCCUCUUCUGGGGUAAAUCUUCCUCUUCUAAUAUCAGGCCUCAAAUAAUUAAUCCAACGCAAACGGCAGCUCUUUCCACAUCUUUGAAGCCCUAAAAUUGUUCAUGAAAAAAAAAUAAAAAUUAAACCUUCGUCUUCUAAUACCCAUCAAGAAAACAGCAAGUUCAAGAAAUAUGAUACACUUAAAAUAACAAAAAGGGUAAAAAAUGGUUAAAGAGACAGGAAGGGGGAAGAGAGAGAGAGAGAGGAAACCAGCUUUCUCUGGGACUUCACUCCAACAGCCAUAGCCAUGGGUAGUGAUGUAUCUAAUGAGCUUUUCAUCUUCCUCAGGCGACCAAAGGCCUCUCUUAACCUUCUGUUGGUUGCAGCAAGAAUGAUGACCCAUGCUAUGAUUUAUGAAGCUGAUGAUCUCUUAUUAAAUCACUUUAGUUUUCUCUCUCUCUCUCCUUUUUAUUUUGUUUCUUCCGAUUCUUGUUUGGUUAAGUGUUGAAACUAUAGAGCUAGCGUUGGCUAGGCAAGAAACUAUUGGCAUGUCUCUCCCCAUUUAAGAGUAGCACAAGUACAAAGGAGCCGACAUUGAAACAGGAUGGGGUCCAUGCAAGGGACCCAGAUUUUCAUCUAACCUAAAAACGACGUUUCAUCGGCUGUUUUUCACAAGUGUUACUAUUUUCUACGUAGACUUGUAUUACGUAACCAAAUUUUCACGUACCCUAACCUCUUUGCCGGUUGUUUCAAAGACCCCCUUCCUCUCUCUCUCUCUCUCAAUCAGCGGGGAAGGUUUUGCCAUCUUCUUCCUCUGUCCCAUCAAUUAAAUUAAACUCCAAUCAUAACCUGACACACGUCUACGUAUAUUCUUCGCAGAAAAUGAUUGAGAGAAAAUAUAUAAUAUAUAUAUAUAUGAGGAAUGAUUUUAGAAUUUUUUUUAUUUUUUUAUUUUGCUUUAGCUUUUAAUUUCCUUUUUAUGUGGCACGGUUAGAUACAUAAAUCGAAACUUGCAGAAAAAGUUUACUUGCUGCAGGUUGAUCUAAUCUGCGGCAAAACCUCUGAAAUGUCUAAACGUGGUUCAAAUAAUUAAUGCCCAUUUAUUCUGCUCUUUUGAUUCAUGAAUACCAAUAUUUUAAUUUCAUUGAUUUUUUUAAUUUUCAUAUUCAAAAUAAAAAAAGUAUACAUUUCAUUUAAAAGUAAAUUUUAUCUUAAAAAAAUUAAAAAAAUAAAAAUAUGUAUGAUUACGUGAUAAAAGAUUAAUUAGACGCUGUUAAAAAUUUUAAUUAAUAUCAUUUAAAUAAGUCGAUAUAAAAGAAAAAAUAGAUUAAAAGACGAAUAAUUUUAUUGAAAUUUUUUAAAAAUUGUAAAAGUAAGUUUUUAAUAGUUAAGGGAGACUGUUUAUAAUAUAAAUAAAAUUUUAAUAUAUAAAAUUAUAAAAAUAUUUAAAAUAUUUAAAAAAAAUUAAAAUAUAAAAUUGAUUUCUAGAUAAAAUUUUUAUAUGGAAUUUUGUGAUAGACCAGCUAUUCUCAUCAUACUUUUGAAAGUCGUGUAUUUCAAAAAUUUUUUUAAAAAAAAUUAUCAUGAAUUUCUAUUAAACAUCGAUCGUCAAAAUUAAGUCUGAUUGAAAUGUGCCGUCCAUGUUAUUAUAUAAAAACUAUUAUGCUUUCUAAUUGUUUUCCAUUAUAUAAUGGAAAAAAGGGUUUCAAUUUUUUUUUUUAAAAAAAAGCUUCUCCCUAGAAAAAUCAUUUUAAAAAAUAGAGAAAAAUCGAUCAGAGACCUCAAAUUAAUGUAUAGCUUAAUUAUUAUUUAAGUGAAGAAACAAGUUAGAUUACAGAUGUUAUUGUACUUUCUUAUCGUCUUUCUUCAUAAUGUGAAUAGAAAAAGAAGAAAUCAUUCUCUAUAAUAACUAAUAAUGAGAGGUUUCUUGAUUUUUUUAUUUUCUAACGAUCAUUAAGGACCACAUAUUUAUUUAAUUAUUUAUUAUUUUGGAAUAAUCCUCCUUCAUUGAUAACUUUAAGGUAUUGAUAAAAAUUCCCCCAUCAUGUCCGUAAGAGCUUAUGUAUUUGCAUUUUAGAUACAAAUCUGAAGAUAUUUUUUCGUAAUUAUAUUCAUUUAUUCAUUAUAUAUGAUAAUCCUACUAUAAAAUGGAUUUAAUGCCACGGUUAUAAAUUGCUGCGGGCCACCCUUGGCAAUAAUUCAAGGAUCGUUAUAUGUAUUUGCACAAUUAUAACAUAGGGUUUACAGCUAUCUAUUUUCGUAGUAGAUAAAUCACUCUUAAAAUUAUAAUUUUAUUAAAUAUAUAUUUAUGAAAGUAGGUUUAAGGUAACGACGAUAAAUUAUUAUUUUAUAUAAUUUAAUUCUAAUUAUAGAUUAAUAAAUUCAUUGCAUUUAUCUCGAUGAUUAUUAUAAAAUAACAAUUUAAUUUUUUGACAGCGAAUAAAAAUGUGACUAUAAUUAUAAUUUUAUUAAAUUUAAAGUAAAUUUUUUAUAAUUAUAGUAAAAAGAUGAUUUUUUUUUUUUUGUAAUAAUUUUAACUGUUGUCUUAAUAAUAUUAAAACAACAAUUUUACAACCCCACAGUUAAAAUAUGAUUACCUAAAAACUAAAAUAUAUGUGGGUUAAAAGCCAUUUAUCAAAAAAGCAAGUGUCUCUCUAUAGUCACUUUGUGACUCGAUACUCUCGCCUUUUUCUUUUUCUUAAAUCUAACUUUUUCUUUCCCUUUAUCCAUGGAAGACGAUCUGCGACGAUCUGCGACGAUCUGCGUCAAUUAAUUAUCGAUGAAGAAAAAAAUGUUGUUGUCCCUAUUAAGAGUUUCAAAAAUAUUCCGAUCGUCACUUAUGAUUUUUGUAUGGUGGGGAUGUUUUUCACAUAUAAUCCAAUCAAUUUUCAGAAUAUGCAGACCUUUUUGGCAGAUCUAUGGCGGCAAUCCACGAACAGUUAUUGCAUUGAAGGAUUUGGUUCCUAAUUACAAGCCGGACAUUUUAUUUUUUAUAGAAACAAAAACUCUUAGUUCUCGUAUGGAACUUUUUUGUAAUUUUUUACAUUUUGAUAGUUGCUUCUCAGUCAAUAGAUAAGGAUUGGGAGGAGACCUUUCGUUAAUAUGGAAGAGUCAUGAGUCUGUUUCUGUAGUUGGCUUUUAUUCAAAUUUUAUUGAUUCAGUUGUUUCGGAAGGUAAUGUGCAAUGGAGGUUUACUAGUUAUUAUGGGUUUUCGAAAUCGCAACAACGUCGUCAGUUUUGGAAUCUUAUUUGACCUUUAUCUCAUAGAAACUCUUUUCCGUAGUUUUAUUCGGGAGACUUUAAUGAUUUAUACACGAGAGAUGAGAAAGAAUAAGAAUGAGAAAUAUUUUUGCCAAAUUAUUUUAUACAGAGGUUUAGACAGAUACUUGAAAAGCAUUUUCGCCAAAUUAUCUUAUGUAGGAGUUUAGACAGACACUCGAAUUUAAGUCUUUGAAAAUAAUAAUAUACUUUUAUUCAUCCGAUCAAAUCAGCUUAAGCUAAGGUGAAUUCCAUCAUAUCCUUUUAUUACAUUAACUACUUUCCAUUGCAACCUUUUAAAAACUCCCAUGCAAUUACAUGAAAUGCUAGAGUUGAAAAGGUAUGAAUUACUAUUAUUUCUUUCACUUUUAUUAUUCAUACAAAAGGUGGCUAAAUUAUAAAAUUUAGAUUAAUUUUUAUAUUUAGGCUUUUAGAAAAAGCCUAGGAACCGUUUACCAUCAAGAAUUAAUCUUUGAUGUUUUUAACAGAAGGAAUGAUUAUAGCCAUAAACCUCUUAAUUAGUUAGGGGACAUGUAGAAACUUCAUGAUAAUGAAAUCACUUAAUAUUGAUUUUUCUUAAUAGUUACUUAUAAUAUAUUCAUAUCUACUAUAAUUUUUUUUUUUUCUAAAAAAAAACGAAGGAAAGACAAUGAGAAGGGCUUAUGAUCUAACAGCCAUACAGUGAGUCUAAUACACUUCUAAUCAGUUUGACUUAAUUUUGUCUUCCGUAAUUAACAAGUAAAAUAUUUAAUAUUUGUGUAGGAAUAACGUCUAUACGUAGCAUGGUUAACAUCAUCAUAUCCAAUUGGUUGUUGAUCCACAACAACUCUCUGAUGAGACCCAUCGGCCAUGGCUAGGGUUUUACUUGUCUUAAAAAAUAAUUAAUCACUGGUUAAUUAAUCUCAUUAUUUAGUUUUCUGCAAUUCCAUGUUCUGAUAUCAUAUUAAACCAGCAAAAAAAUACAUGAACUUAAUCAUCAUUUUUUUGUAUUACCAAAAAAAUGGGUGUUAAUUGUAGCCGUUGCAUUUUAUACUUAAAGUUUUGUAUCAGAAUCCAAAAAAAAAAAACGAUCCAAUUGAUCAAGAUGCACAAUAAGGACACGGAAUCCACAAAGAAACGAUCCAAUUGAUCAAGAUGCACAAUGAGAAUCGUAUCCAUAUAAUUUUGUACUUCCCGAUAAAUAUAAUAUGUUUUAUUAUUCUAAAUGGUUAUUCUAUUUUAAGUAAUGAAGAAUUUAUUAUUCUUAAUGGGUUCAAGAAUUUCUAUAUAACUUAAGCCAUAUAAUAAAAACUUUUUUCAUUUUAUAAAUUAAUAAUAUUAAUUUAAUAACGACUAUAUUUAUCUAUGCUACCGUAACAUAAAAUAACAAUAGUAUUAACGAUUCCGAUAUAUUUUUUAAUAAAAAAAAAUACAGUUGAAAUUAUAAAUUUAUUAUAUAUAAAUAAAUUAUAUUUUAUAAUUACUGUUACGAUACUAUUGCAUAAACCUUAAACCUUAAAAUAAAAAAUAAAGUAAUGUCUUUUUAGCAAUUUUAACUACUAAUCAUCAUCAAUAAUAAUAUUUUAUGAAAUUGAAAGUGAUUUAUUCUUUGAUUACGUCUAUACGGUAUUGUAUGGUAUGUAGAAAAAGUGUAUAUAUAAUAUAAAACAUAUACAUAUUGAGAUAAUGAAAAACACAUUUGUCAGUAAAAUCUAUACGCAAACGUAUUAUAGAAACAAAGGUCUUUGUCUUGUGAUAUGUUCAUGGAUUAGUUAGAACACAUAUGUAAUAAUAAUAAUAAAAAAAAAAAGAUUAGGUAUAUAUAUAUAGUAGGGUUUGAAACGUUGUUAUACGUAGAUGAAUAAACACAAAUAGAUAAUAGAGAUUUGUAGAGAUUGAAAGAGAGGGAGAGGUUUCUGUUGAUUGAUGUAAAUCAUCUACCAUAUUGAUGUGAAGAUAAGAAGUGACUUUUGCUUGGAUGGAUCGCAAGCUAAAACUUUGAAAGUAAUAUACAAAUCAUUUUUAAAAAAGACCUUUAGGGAGGAUAUUGAAAAGGGGGAAUGAUUAUACUUAGCUUUAAGGAGGAGCAAUGGAGUGGCAAUGGGCCUACCAUUUAGGAUUUUUAAGUAGAGAAUUAGUGAGAAAAAAUAUGGGACUUUGCCUUUAAAAGCAUGGUUGGUUAAGUUAUUAAUCAUCGAUGGGUUAUCUCUACCUUAUAAUAAACUCUCUUUGCUUAAAUAUAGUCCUCAUGCUUCUCUUCCAUUGUUUCUAUUAAUAUUAUAUACAUAUUAAUGAUGGCUUUAGGCCAUAUUCAUGCCCCACCAUGAAUCUUCUCAUGGACCCUUUUGCAAACUGCAGCUCAUCCUUCUUCCUUCAUAUAUAUAAUCCUCACAUGGGUCUCUUUCCCUUCAAUAGAAGUCUCUCUUUGGCUGCAGCCCCACACCAGUGCAUUACCCUACUAGAAAUAGCAAAAACAGUCACAGAAGUAACAAGCAUAGAUGGACCCAUUUGUGAAACUUUAACAUUAUUAAAUAUUAUUUCUCUUCCGCCAAUUAAAAUAAUCUGAAUUGAUUUUUCAACACUUUUAAGAUAAACAUUUGUCUUUCUUCCGACAUUUGCUGAGUAUAAUAAAUUACUUACAACUCUCUCAAAAUUCACAUAACUACAUCUACGUCAGCUGCUGCAAAUAUGUCCAAAACCAUCUGAAUAUUCAUCAAAUAUUAACGUAAUGUGUGAGUAUCUUUCAAAAAUAUACUCGAUAACCAAAGAUAACAAGGACAUGACGUUGGGUGUCAAGCACAUGUGAGGUAAAAUCAUAACUCUUCAACUUGUUUAGACAGUGUUGGAGAGAGAGGACAAUCAUGUUUCUCCACUGUAGUGCUCUAUUCCUAUGUACCAUUUUAAGGUGGAUCAAUCUGGACAUGAACGUAGAAGAGGUCAUAUGUUUUUCAAUAUUUUGAUAGAAAAUGAUAGGAAAAGAACCUUAUUACCAUAUAUAAUCUCUCUAUAGGCCCAUUUUGUUAUUUGUUUCUGUUUGAUAGAACGAUGGAAUCAACUUCCAACCUGGCUGAGUUGGCUUUCUCUACCUGUUUGUAGCAAUUUUUUCCAAAUGGUAAUCAUUGUCAAAUUUUCCAAUAUCAAGUUUACCAGCCACUUGAUUAUUAUUAUUAUUUUUUUUUUAAUGGUAUAGAAGUAAAAAUAAAAAUGAAAUUUGCUACAACUUGACAUCUAAAUAUCUUGGCCUCUUUUGGGUUGGACCUGAAGAUAAAUGUAGGUUCACUUGCAAGGCUUGCAGAGAGACAACCCGCUUGCUUAGUGUCAAGUUUGAGACUCAGAAAAACAUUUUUCAAAAAAAAGAAAAAAAAUUAGAUGCUGAUAAAAAAUAGUUUAAGAAAUUGCGUUUCUCAACAAUAAUUCCAAAUAUACUAAUAAAGUUACUGCUAGAAGAUUACCUAAAUGGUUAAAUAGUGAAUACUCAAUUACAAUUAGAUUGAUUUGUUUUAUUAAACUUAAAUAUUCAAUUCCUAUUUUUAACAUUUAAUUAAUAUAUUUCUAUAUUUUAUAAUAUCAUACUCUUUAAUAUGUAAAAUAAAAAAUAAAAAUAAGUCUAAUUUAAUUUUUUUUAAGGGUUAAAUAAUGUCAAUUCAAAUUUUUUAGCCAAUAAAACUCUUAUGCUUUUAUUUGAGAGUCAAAUAAAUUAUAACCUAAUAUAAUAUUACUUGUUAAUGAUAUAUAUUAUUUUUUUAAUAAUAAAACAUGUUUUAUAAUAAAAUUUCAUUUCUAUAAUUUUAAAAAUUAUUUAUUGUUUCUAUGUAUUUUUUAAAAUAAUUUUAUGUUAAUUACAAUAUUAAAUUUUUGAUAUUAAAAAUUAUAAAAAAUAAUAUUUUACUUUGAAAAAUAUUAUUAUAAUAAAUCAUGACUUAUUUGGCCCUUAUACAAAAACAUAAAGAUUUUAUUGAAAAAAAAUAAAUUAACUUUGUAUAAAAUUGAAUUGAAUUUGUAUAAAAUUCUUAAUUUCAAAUAAAAAAUAGAAAAUUAAAUAAAUCUAAUUAAAUUGAAUUGAAAUAAAUUAGUUGUAUUUGAUACACCAAUCUCUAUUUCCUAAUCAACACAAUAUAUAUCCCAGUAAAAAGGUAUUUAUUCAAUUAAAAUCUUCAUUAAUCAAAAUAAAACAAAAGCAAAUCCUAAACGUUCAGUAAUAAACAAACCGCAAUAAAGAAUCAAACUGCAGAGAUCAAUAAUGGAUAAAUCUUUUCCAUUGAACACCAUUGAGUUUCUCAAAAUUUUACUCUAUUGAUUCAUUUUAGUUUAAUUUCACUUAAGUAUUUGUUUUAUAUAGGAGAAUUGAAUUCUCAAUCUUACGUAAAAGAGAAAAAUAUCGAUUUAUUUAUUUUAAUUUUAAUUUUUUUUUUCUAGUUUGGCCUCUGGCAAAACCCUUCUGAAUCCCUUCCUUUAACAGACCAUACAUAUCAGAACCUCAACUUCAGGCCCAUCUCCAUCCCGCAUCCCAUUUCUCAACUCCGCAGUUUCAUCACACUCAGUUCUUCACAUCUGGGUUCAACUCGCUGAUGGCAUAUGCUAAUCUCUCUUUGAAAAUGUUUUCUUUUUUUUUUUAAUCAAACCAUUGUUUCAAAUUCAAUCUGAAAUUUGAAUACAUAUGUUAAAUUUUGCAAAACUCAGGAUUUAUAAAAUCCCAAUCAAUUUCUGAUAAAUAACUGAUGAAUCUAAAACAAGUGACAGAAAGUUUGCAGUAAGCAGUGAGUUCAUGAUAGACAAGAAAGAGAGUCUGAAGGAGGAAAAAUUUUACAGUACAAAGGUGAUUUUAUGUAGGCUAUAGUGCUCUUAAAAUGGGCUGUGCGGCCCAACUUGUGCAGACUCGAUUCUAAAACGACUCGAACUAAAAAAUUCACAAAAAAUAAAAUUUGAAUAUUUAAAUUUGGUUCGCAGUAGAUUUCUGGAUGGAUACAGACAAUCUAUUUUCAAUAAUAUAACUUUAUCACGUUUUAUUUUCAUAACUAAUGAGUGUCAAAUAGUGAUGAGAUUUCAUACGAAUAAGUAGGGGUGAGGUGUUUGUGAUUGUUCCAGAAGAAAUGAAACAAAAAAUAGGGUGUUCGGUUUUUUAUACAUUUCGGUUUGGUUC
rnacentral:lncRNA from 1 species